rnacentral:lncRNA from 10 species
GGAAGAGUUCUAGCCUGAAAGGGAACUCGGGCGUCGUCCUGGCGUCCUCUCCGGAUUGCGCCGCACCCUCGCUUCCUGCCAGGGAGGGGCUGCCGGGCUUUGGCGGCUCCCGAGCAUCGAGAACGGGGCCAGAGCAGCUUCCUGCCUGCCCCCCGCGACCAUAGAGCGCGGGCCCAGGGCGCCGCCCGCGGGUGGGGGACGUUCCCAGGACGGAAGUGGCCGAGAGAGUGUCGAAGGGAGGGCGAGGCCGGAGCCCGAGGGCGACCCGAGAAGCGGCGGGGCGGCGGGCCGGCGGGCGGGGCGCAGAGCCAGGCAGCGCAGGUACCCCUGUGCUUCAACAGCCUGCCUGCUCACUUCCCUGAAUGCUCCUCCACGAUUUACUGCUUCUCCAUCUUUGCUUAUGCUAUUUCUCUGCCUGGAGUGAAAACUACCCCUGACACAUCUCCAGCUGGCUGGCGUAGUGGAGAAAGCUUGGGCUUUGCAGUCAGAAACCUGGGUUCGGAUCCUGGCUUCACAACUUAUUAUUUGGAGAAGUAUUUGAACAAGUAUUUAACAUCUUUGAGUCUGUUUUCUGAUCUGUAAAAAUGGAAAUAAUGACACCUACUGUAAGGAUUAAAUGAAAUUAUGUAUACAAUGCAAGUGACAUAGUCAAUAAAUGGCAGAUCACUAUUGUUUUUUAUUAUCUCUAUUUUUUAAAAUUCUAGCUUCAAAUGAUACUUAUCAUGGAGACUUUUUGGUUCCCCUUCCCUGACCUAAAGGGAUCUCUCUGAGCACACACCUUUUGGCUCUUACCACAUCCUGCCCUCCGUUGUGAUUCUGUACUUGGCUUAUUCACUCAUCUCGUGGACUGGGAGCCCUUUGAACUCAAAGGCUAGGUCUUACUGAUCUUGGUCCCCAGCCACUGAAAGUUUGGCCCAGGGUCUUCCCCACAGCUGGCCCUCAAGGAAUGCUUGCUGGGUGAAUGGAGAAUGUCUACAUAAUGGGAGGAGAGACACUGGGUGCCGGGUGUGCUUGUUAUGGAGGUUAUCUGUGCAAAAGCUGUGUGCAUAGGAUGGGCUCCCUAGGAGAAGAUAAUGCAGUCGUGAUGGGAUCUGUGUGGGGGCUGUGUGAUUGAGAUAAUGUGUGUAUAGAGAGAGUAAGGUAGCUUUGUGGGAAAGAGCUCUGCCUAGGCUGGGGUGCAUCUGGGGAGAAUGAGUGUGCAUUUGAGUAUGGAGGGGCUGUACCGGGGGAAGUUCUGUGCAGCCCUUCAGCUAGCUGCCCAGUCCAGCUCUAAAUGAGUCUCCAGCAGCCUGAGGCCGGAUAUGUCAGUCUCACCCACAGCCCUCCCCCACUGCCAGCGGUUGCGGACUCAGAGGCCAAAUUUGGAAUGUAUUGAGGGAGGAGGAGUUCCCUGGGAGGGGGACACGGCAGUGGGGAGUUGCUGUUCCAUCAAACACAAUGGAAAAGGGAGCAAAGUUCUCAGGCCAAAGGAGGAAUGAGCUAGCUUCUACUCAUACUUGUAGCAGCCUUGUUCUUUGCCACCACCACCCACAAUUCACUGAUCAGUUCUUCGCGUCCACACACCCUCUUGUAGCUGUGUGAAUAUCCACUCUGGACCAGCUGGGGAGUAAGGGUAGGCAUGACUCAGCUCCCUUA